rnacentral:lncRNA from 1 species
UUUAUUAUUAAUUAUUUUCCAUGAAAACAUGAUUGGAAAUAAUAUAUGAAGUGAUAAUUGGAAUUAUAUAAUAAAUAUUUUAUUAUAUGAUUUGUUCAGAAUAAUUAAGUUAACUAUUUUAACUUGAUUACUGAUGUUGUGUAAGAAAGAGAAGUCAGAUAUGAGAUCCAAACCCUGAAUUGGGAUUGUGAUCAAGAGAUGAGAAUAAUAAUAUUAUAUUAUUGUUAUAAUGAUUUUACAGUACAAUAAUUAUGUACUGUAUAUGUGCGGACAGAUAAUAUUGAGCAAUGACGGUCAAUUAGGUCAUAGCAUAUUACCGUGCUGUGAAACCCUAAUUAUUAAACUCAGUUAUGAGAUAUGACUGAGUAGUGACUGUGUAUAUGAAGUUACUGUGUACAAGAAUAUCGGUAAUUAGGACAAACCCUAAUUACUAUUUUUUUACACUGAUAAUUAGGAUAAACCCUAAUUAUUAUAACCCUAAUCGAUUGAAGUUAGAGAUCGUAAUGACUGUGUUAGAACAUACACAGAUAAUUAGAG